GCAUCAGUAGUUUAGUGGUAAAAUACAUCGGUUUCUAUCGUUGGGCCCCGCGUUUGAUUCGCGGUUGAUGCA